rnacentral:rRNA from 1 species
UACGGAGGGUGCAAGCGUUACCCGGAUUCACUGGGUUUAAAGGGUGCGUAGGUGGGUUGGUAAGUCAGUGGUGAAAUCUCCGGGCUUAACCCGGAAACUGCCGUUGAUACUAUCAAUCUUGAAUAUCGCGUAGGUAAGCGGAAUAUGUCAUGUAGCGGUGAAAUGCUUAGAUAUGACAUAGAACACCAAUUGCGAAGGCAGCUUACUUCACGAUCAUUGACACUGAGGCACGAAAGCGUGGGGAGCAAACAGG